GAGCUGUCAUAUCCAAGAAAGGUGUUGCCGAGCAGCUAUCAGUUGAUCAUGAGCCAAACAGAGAAAGGGAGAUAAUUGAAAGCAAAGGCGGAUUUGUUUCAAACAUUCCAGGUGAUGUACCUCGUGUUGAUGGACAGCUUGCCGUUGCAAGGGCAUUUGGAGACAAGAGCUUGAAGAGACAUCUUAGUUCAGAUCCAGACGUGGCAAUUGAGCUGAUGGAUAACGAUGUAGAUCUCAUUAUUUUGGCAAGCGAUGGUCUGUGGAAGGUAAUGUCCAACCAAGAGGCAGUGGACUGCAUUAAGAACAUGAAAGACGCGAAAGCAGCAGCUAAACAUUUAUCAGA
rnacentral:misc_RNA from 1 species